ncrna:unclassified sequences IS605-orfB-I RNA
GACCUAUACAGAUGUAUCAACGCAAGACAGUUGAGCAUCUCCCUGUAGGAACAUGUUUUUACAGAAGCAUUGACAACAAGUCUUAUUGUGUGGCUUUUAAGUUGAAAUAAGAUGAGUUAAUGUGGAAUAGGUUAACCGUAAGACCUUGAAUUGAAAAAUUCUAAAAUUGACCUAGAAAUGGAAAUUUCUGAAUGUUUAAUUUUUAGUUACGAUUAA